CAGCAGCAGCCGCGGUAAUACGAAGGGUGCAAGCGUUACUCGGAAUUACUGGGCGUAAAGCGUGCGUAGGUGGUGGUUUAAGUCCGUUGUGAAAGCCCUGGGCUCAACCUGGGAAUUGCAGUGGAUACUGGGUCACUAGAGUGUGGUAGAGGAUAGUGGAAUUUCCGGUGUAGCAGUGAAAUGCGUAGAGAUCGGAAGGAACAUCUGUGGCGAAGGCGACUAUCUGGGCCAACACUGACACUGAGGCACGAAAGCGUGGGGAGCAAACAGGAUUAGAUACCCGAGUAGUCCCUGUCUCUUAUAC
rnacentral:rRNA from 1 species